GAAUGCGUCUCGGUCAAAGCUCAUCCUUGUGGUGUGGCUGGACUGGCGUUUCCUAUCUUCCGAUAGUGGGGUCAAACUCGCUUCGGAUCGUUUACUUUGAAAAAAUUAGAGUGUUCAAAGCAGGCCUGCGCCUGAAUAGAUUAGCAUGGAAUAAUAGAAUAGGACUACGGUCUUAUUUUGUUGGUUCUAAGACCGCAGUA
rnacentral:rRNA from 1 species